rnacentral:rRNA from 1 species
GUGCCAGCCGCCGCGGUAAUACGUAGGUGGCAAGCGUUGUCCGGAUUUAUUGGGUUUAAAGGGUGCGUAGGCGGCGCCAUAAGUCAGUGCUGAAAUAUCCCGGCUUAACCGGGAGGGUGGCAUUGAUACUGUGGUGCUUGAGUGUAGUCGAGGUAGGCGGAAUUGACGGUGUAGCGGUGAAAUGCUUAGAUAUCGUCAAGAACACCGAUAGUGUAGACAGCUUACUAGGCUACAACUGACGCUGAGGCACGAAAGUGUGGGGAUCAAACAGGAUUAGAUACCCGGGUAGUCC